AGUCGAUCACAUGCAGAGGGGAAUAGUAGGUUGUGCGUCUCUGUUAGAGACUAUUACUGUUACAUGCUGUAGACACGGCCUGCGAUCUUCAAUCCCAUACUCUAUGGAGCACGCCUACUGCAGCAAUGGGCGGCCGACAUGUAUGUCAAGAUUGAGAGUUGUCGGUUGAGGUGGUAUAGGAAGAACCAGACGGAGAUUCAGGCCGACUUGUAUAAAGGAGUUGUUGAUGCCAUCACAUCGAGGGAGACGCGAGCAAGCGCUGUUGGGACAAGGAUAGUGCUCCCUGGAACAUACCCAGGUGGCGAACGUGACAUGAAGAAGAGGCAUAUGGAUGCCAUGGCAAUUGUCCAUACAUACGGGAAGCCUGACAUCUUCUUGACCAUGACUUGCAAGAGGAAUUUUGAGCUACUAAUUCCCGCUGCAACGCGCGGGGAAUCAUCUAGUUCAUAA
rnacentral:rRNA from 1 species